rnacentral:rRNA from 1 species
AUUUUAUAGAUUAUAUUAUUAAAUGAGCUCUGCCCAAUGAAAUCUUUUUAAUGGCCGCUAAUAUGUGCUAAGGUAGCAAAAUAAUUAGGCUUUUAAUUGAAGUCUCGUAUGAAGGAGUUUUAAUGGGGGAUGACUUUCAGAAAGUAUACUUUUAACUUAAAAUAUAGGUGAAAAUUCCUAUUUUAGAAAAAAAGACGAAAAGACCCUGGGAAUUGUAAUAGAUUUAUUUGUUGGGGCAACAGGAAAAUAAACAAGCUUUUAAAUUACAAUCUUAUUUAUAAAAAGGGAUAAUUACCCCAGGGAUAACAGCAUAAUACAUUAAUGUGGUUAUGACCUCGAUGUUGGACUAAGAUCUUUAUUAAUUAGAGAUUAAUAAACACUAGCUCUGUUCGAGCAUACAUUCUU